GGAAUAGCGAAGGCGUGGGACGCGAGGAUGGCGUGGGCGGCAGGAAACACGCACCCCUUAGAAGUCAGAACUGGAGCCAAGAGUCCCUGGGAAAAAAUAUGAUAAAACUGAUCCUUGGAGAAAAUGCUCAUUACUAUAAUACCUCAUGAAAUGACAUCACAUUUCUGGAACAGCCUUGCACACUCAUGACUCUGUUUCUGUGGAUCAAGUUUCCCCUCUACCAGAAAUGUCCUUUCACCAUCAACCUUGGUGACUUUGUUCCUGAUCAGCUCAAAGAGUACAUUCUUCUCUAUCCAAGACAUAAUCACUUCCUCUCAGCACAGCACUAUAAUCUGCACAUACUUGUAUUACAUAACUUAAAUAAAAAACUGAAUAAACAUCUGUCUCCCUUGUUUAUUAAAAACUUAAAGUCAGAAACUGCACCUUUUCCUUUGUUACGGUCUCCUCCAAGUCCCUGUGUCAGUCCCAGUUAAAGGAAAAGUUGAGUAAGAGAAUAUAAGGAAUGAACAAUAAACA